rnacentral:ncRNA from 1 species
GGCCGGGUGUGCGGCUAAUAAAAGACCUGAAAGGGAAAUAUGCCCGCCGUCUUCGAGCGGUUUUGAGCACCUGGCCGCCUUCUC